ensembl:lncRNA
GUCAGUCUUGGAAGCGUCAGAAUGCGAUCAAAAUAUCACACAACACUUAUACUGUUACAAGGUGCCAUGUAAGAUGUGGAAACAGAAAUAGGGCCCCAUGGAGAUCCACUUUCAACAAAACUUGAAAGAAAAAACAAGCUGCCAUGAAUAGCCAGAACCCAAGGAAUGAGGUCAUCCUUCCCCUGGAAAUUCCCUUCCACAUCUACUGGGCUUUUGUGUCCACCUGGAUGAGAAGGGCCACAGAACAUGGUCUUGCUCCGCGGCCUAGGCUGACUUUGAAUUCACGAUUGUCUCGUCUCAGUCUCCCAAGCACUUGAAUUACAUGCUUAUGCCACCAUGCCUGACAUUGUGAAUUUUUUAAAUUAAAAAUAUAUUGCAUUUUAUUUAUUUAUUGUGUGUAUGUAUGCAUAUGUGUGGAGGUCAAAAGACAACUUCAGGAGUUGAUUCUCUCCUUCUACCAUGUAGGUCCUGGGGAACUGAACAU